AGUGAACGCUGGCGGUAGGCCUAACACAUGCAAGUCGAACGGCAGCACAGUAAGAGCUUGCUCUUACGGGUGGCGAGUGGCGGACGGGUGAGGAAUACAUCGGAAUCUACUUUUUCGUGGGGGAUAACGUAGGGAAACUUACGCUAAUACCGCAUACGACCUACGGGUGAAAGCAGGGGAUCUUCGGACCUUGCGCGAUUGAAUUAGCCGAUGUCGGAUUAGCUAGUUGGCGGGGUAAAGGCCCACCAAGGCGACGAUCCGUAGCUGGUCUGAGAGGAUGAUCAGCCACACUGGAACUGAGACACGGUCCAGACUCCUACGGGAGGCAGCAGUGGGGAAUAUUGGACAAUGGGCGCAAGCCUGAUCCAGCAAUACCGCGUGAGUGAAGAAGGCCUUCGGGUUGUAAAGCCCUUUUGUUGGGAAAGAAAAGCAGCAGGUUAAUACCCCGCUGUUCUGACGGUACCCAAAGAAUAAGCAACGGCUAACUUCGUG
rnacentral:rRNA from 1 species